UGCUUGCGAAAAACCUUUUGUAUUCUUUUCUCUCUUUCUACUUAUAUUUAUAUUAUAUUUUAUGAUAAUCAAAUGAUCAAAUUACCCCUGCAUUAUUAGGCUGCUUUUGGAUUUAUUUUGUUAAGGGACAAUUUUAUCCUAAUAAUUUUGUCGAAUGACGUGACCCCAAAUUUUUGUCGGCAUGCGUAAACCUCCGAGAUAGAUAUAUGGGAUUAAGUUAAAUGAAGCAUGGUCAAAAUUUGAAUUUAAAAUCUC
rnacentral:lncRNA from 1 species